CCAAGGGGACCCGCAGGACUCUCAGCUCUGGCUUGCCUUCAUUGGCCGUCCAGAGAGGAGUCGCUAGAGCUAUAUGCUCCAGGGGUGGAAGUGAAAGAUGCAUAAGACGCGAGUUGGCACAGUGGCUGGUAACAGCCACUGGGUAGAAAGCGGCGCACACCUCUCGACACCCCUGAGCCGCUCACACCGAUGUUGCUCCUGGUCGUCUUUACGACGGCAGUUUCAGGGGCCCAUCUAGUCAGCGGCGAGUCACCGCCUGCCUCGAUGACGGUGUUAACAUUGUUAUGGCAGGUGUCCGGACCUCUUUACAAUAGCCCAGUUUAAUUGUCCACCCAAACUUCAAUCCAUAGACCGGUAUACUGUUCAUUUUUUCUACAAUAGUCCCAAUGCCUGCUGCGACCGGUUCAUGGGUGUCUAUUGUUGCGCCUGUGAACGGGUUCCAGCAGGCGUUCUACAUGACAUUAAAGCUCUCCAAGGGGCCUCUACGUGUUGGAUCUAUAUCCCCACGCAAGCCUAUCAAAAGACCGGGAUUUAUAGGCCCACGAAAAAUAAAUAAAGAUAAUAAUAAUAAUAAAAUGCUUUAUUGCACACUACAAAAGAAA